AGAGUUUGAUCCUGGCUCAGGACGAACGCUGGCGGCGUGCCUAAUACAUGCAAGUAGAACGCUGAAGAGAGGAGCUUGCUCUUCUUGGAUGAGUUGCGAACGGGUGAGUAACGCGUAGGUAACCUGCCUUGUAGCGGGGGAUAACUAUUGGAAACGAUAGCUAAUACCGCAUAACAAUGGAUGACACAUGUCAUUUAUUUGAAAGGGGCAAUUGCUCCACUACAAGAUGGACCUGCGUUGUAUUAGCUAGUAGGUGAGGUAAUGGCUCACCUAGGCGACGAUACAUAGCCGACCUGAGAGGGUGAUCGGCCACACUGGGACUGAGACACGGCCCAGACUCCUACGGGAGGCAGCAGUAGGGAAUCUUCGGCAAUGGGGGCAACCCUGACCGAGCAACGCCGCGUGAGUGAAGAAGGUUUUCGGAUCGUAAAGCUCUGUUGUAAGUCAAGAACGGGUGUGAGAGUGGAAAGUUCACACUGUGACGGUAGCUUACCAGAAAGGGACGGCUAACUACGUGCCAGCAGCCGCGGUAAUACGUAGGUCCCGAGCGUUGUCCGGAUUUAUUGGGCGUAAAGCGAGCGCAGGCGGUUUGAUAAGUCUGAAGUUAAAGGCUGUGGCUCAACCAUAGUUCGCUUUGGAAACUGUCAAACUUGAGUGCAGAAGGGGAGAGUGGAAUUCCAUGUGUAGCGGUGAAAUGCGUAGAUAUAUGGAGGAACACCGGUGGCGAAAGCGGCUCUCUGGUCUGUAACUGACGCUGAGGCUCGAAAGCGUGGGGAGCGAACAGGAUUAGAUACCCUGGUAGUCCACGCCGUAAACGAUGAGUGCUAGGUGUUGGAUCCUUUCCGGGAUUCAGUGCCGCAGCUAACGCAUUAAGCACUCCGCCUGGGGAGUACGACCGCAAGGUUGAAACUCAAAGGAAUUGACGGGGGCCCGCACAAGCGGUGGAGCAU
rnacentral:rRNA from 1 species